CUACGGGCGGCUGCAGUAAGGAAUAUUGCGCAAUGGAGGCAACUCUGACGCAGCCAUGCCGCGUGCAGGAAGAAGGCCUUAUGGGUCGUAAACUGCUUUUAUUUAGGAAUAAACCCCCGAACGUGUUCGGGGCUGAAGGUACUAAACGAAUAAGCACCGGCUAACUCCGUGCCAGCAGCCGCGGUAAUACGGAGGGUGCAAGCGUUAUCCGGAUUUAUUGGGUUUAAAGGGUGCGCAGGCGGGCUAUUAAGUCAGUGGUGAAAUCCCGGGGCUCAACUCCGGAACUGCCAUUGAUACUGAUAGUCUUGAGUUUGGUUGAGGUGGGCGGAAUGCAGCAUGUAGCGGUGAAAUGCAUAGAUAUGCUACAGAACACCAAUCGCGAAGGCAGCUUACUAAGCCAAAACUGACGCUCAUGCACGAAAGCGUGGGGAUCAAACAGGAUUAGAUACCCGGGUAGUC
rnacentral:rRNA from 1 species